UACGUAGGGGGCUAGCGUUGUCCGGAAUCACUGGGCGUAAAGCGCACGUAGGCGGCUUUCUAAGUCAGGGGUGAAAUCCUGGAGCUCAACUCCAGAACUGCCCUUGAUACUGGGAAGCUUGAGUCCGGAAGAGGUGAGUGGAACUCCGAGUGUAGAGGUGAAAUUCGUAGAUAUUCGGAAGAACACCAGUGGCGAAGGCGGCUCACUGGUCCGGUACUGACGCUGAGGUGCGAAAGCGUGGGGAGCAAACAGG
rnacentral:rRNA from 1 species